UGCUCACCUGCAACACGGCAGCAUGUAAUUAUGUAAACGAACACACGUGUAGUCAUAACUCAUAGUAUACAGCUGUGUAGUCGUAUGUUGUAAUAUCUCUUAUUAUUUAGUAUUUUUGUGCAUCCCAAUAGAGCCCUCCCCUCGCUAACGCGCGUUGUCGGAAUAUUCGUCUCGAUAUAGCUACGUCUCAUACGUGUUUUUUUAUAUUAUAUCGUAUAAAACUGUACUGAAUUUUGUCAUGUAUCGGCUAUCGUUAAAAUAUAUAAACAGAAAGCAGCGAGAUGAGUUUGGACGGAUUCAAAAAUCAUGUGUUACUAUCACGUGCAUACUAUAGACCUCUCUCCGGAGUAAUGUUAUAUGCGUAUAUUGUAGACAGAGACCUUUGGAGUAAUGCUGUAUACCACUUUUUGGCAAUAAAAUAUCAAAUCGAACCCGAUAGCGUCUUCUUUCCAGGUCCGGCCAGCAUUGCUGCAGGGAUUUGGAUCAGAGGCAAUCAUAUAACCAUUAUCAUCAGCAAAAGAGCCAAAAGUUGUGAUGUUGUUAUGCGGGAUAUCUGAUAUAUACAUUCUGAAGAAAAAUAGGCAUCACCACAGAAGAUUUUAAAAGAUUGGAUGGAAUUUUCUGCUCCAAAAUGUGACGUUAGAAAAAUUAAAAUACACAUAGUUGUAAAACCAAUAUUAUAAUAUGCUAUAGAUAUUUUAUGUAUAACCUCAAACCUUACAUAAAGGUAAUUAUUUCCUAGUCUAUAUUAUUAUUAAGCUUAAUUAAAUACAUGUAAGAUAUAAGUAUAUAACAAUAUGUAUGCAAAAGUAUUUAUAUGUAUAGCCUAUAGGCUAUAGCAUUGUAAGAAUU